GGUCAAGUUAUUAAGAGCAUAGGGCGAAUGCCUUGGCACCAAGAGCCGAUGAAGGACGGGAUAAGCACCGAUAUGCUUCGGGGAGUCGCAAAUAGACACUGAUCCGGAGAUUUCCGA
rnacentral:ncRNA from 1 species